GUGCCUGUAGCUCAAUGGUUAGAGCGCCUCACUGUGGAUGAGGAGGUUGAGGGUUCGACCCCCUUCAGGCACCCA
rnacentral:tRNA from 1 species